rnacentral:rRNA from 1 species
UAAGGAAUAUUGCGCAAUGGGCGACAGCCUGACGCAGCGACGCCGCGUGGGGGAUGAAGGUCUUCGGAUUGUAAACCCCUUUCGGCAGGGAAGAUGGAACGGGUAACCGUUCGGACGGUACCUGCAGAAGCAGCCACGGCUAACUUCGUGCCAGCAGCCGCGGUAAUACGAAGGUGGCAAGCGUUGUUCGGAUUUACUGGGCGUACAGGGAGCGUAGGCGGUUGGGUAAGCCCUCCGUGAAAUCUCCGGGCCUAACCCGGAAAGUGCGGAGGGGACUGCUCGGCUAGAGGAUGGGAGAGGAGCGCGGAAUUCCCGGUGUAGCGGUGAAAUGCGUAGAGAUCGGGAGGAAGGCCGGUGGCGAAGGCGGCGCUCUGGAACAUUUCUGACGCUGAGGCUCGAAAGCGUGGGGAGCAAACAGGAUUAGAUACCCCAGGUCCCUGAGCGGGCUGGCAAGGCGCAU